AGUGAACGCUGGCGGUAGGCCUAACACAUGCAAGUCGAACGGCAGCACAGUAAGAGCUUGCUCUUACGGGUGGCGAGUGGCGGACGGGUGAGGAAUACAUCGGAAUCUACUUUUUCGUGGGGGAUAACGUAGGGAAACUUACGCUAAUACCGCAUACGACCUACGGGUGAAAGCAGGGGAUCUUCGGACCUUGCGCGAUUGAAUGAGCCGAUGUCGGAUUAGCUAGUUGGCGGGGUAAAGGCCCACCAAGGCGACGAUCCGUAGCUGGUCUGAGAGGAUGACCACCCACACUGGACGUGAGACGCGCCCCAGCCCCCUCCGGGAGCCAGCAGGGGGGAAUAUUGAACAAGGGGCGCACGCCUGACCCAGCAAUCCGGGGGGGGGGAAGAAGGCCUGCGGGUUGUAAAGCCUUUUUGUGGGAAAAAAAAAGAAGCGGUUUAAACCCCCGCUGUUCUGCCGUCACCAAAAAAAAAAGCCCCGGCUAACUUCGUG
rnacentral:rRNA from 1 species